AACCUAGCACACCUGCGGUGUGUACCUGCGGAAGGAUCAUUACCGAGUUUACAACUCCCAAACCCAAUGUGAACCAUACCAAACUGUUGCCUCGGCGGGGUCACGCCCCGGGUGCGUCGCAGCCCCGGAACCAGGCGCCCGCCGGAGGGACCAACCAAACUCUUUACUGUAGUCCCCUCGCGGACGUUAUUUCUUACAGCUCUGAGCAAAAAUUCAAAAUGAAUCAAAACUUUCAACAAC
rnacentral:misc_RNA from 1 species